AAACCCCAUGUUAACGUUUAAGCAUUAUUCAUCAUGAACCCCCUGUUAACUUUUAAUCAUCCAUUUCCUUUUGUGUCAUAACUCGGUAUGAUUGUGUGAAUUGCAAGAUGUGCAAUAAAACUAAGUUUGGGGUGGAAAUCUUGAAAGGGAAGGCAAGUGCAUAAGAUGAGAUCAUACAAAAAGAAAAAUAGUAUGUAAUUUCUUUAAAAAGAAAAGAGAAGAAAAAAAAAGAGAAGAAAAAAAAAGAAAAGAAAAAAAAAAGAAAAAAAAGCACUUGCCGAGACCGUAAAUUCUAACAGAUAUAAAAUGCUCGGAAAAGUUGAGUAGAAAAAGAAUCAAGAGAAGUGAAAUUAACCCCCAGAGUAUAUGUGAUGCACAGGAAAAAAAAAGAAAAAUCACACAACAUGACUACCGAGUUCAAAACCCUUUGUUAUCC
rnacentral:lncRNA from 1 species